UGGGAUUGGGCUAGCUCCACAAGGCUAGUCCCUGGCAUUGAAUGGGUGCUUACCAGCUUAUUCACUGUGGCUCCACACUUCACAAUGGAUUAAACUCACCAUGGCCUUCUGCCUGACUUCUCUGCACACUCUCAGUUCUUACAGAUUGUUGUUGUCUAAUUGCCUGGAGACAUUCUACACACAUAACGGUCUUUCUGGAAGUCUGUUUUUGAAAGAUCAAUCUGAUAAUUAUGGGCUGUUAUCUAACAAACAAUAAGUAAGGGAUAAACGCCAACGUUCUGUACAUUAUAUUGGAAAUAAUGGAUGACGCAACAGGACGAGACGGAGCCGACUCCCUUUGCAGAGUUCAUUUUUCCAAGCGUCAUCCCAUGUGACAGAAUGCAGCAGCCAACAUACGAAGUAUCGGGGAGUACUGGCGUUCCGGUUGGUGCAGACAUCGGCUCUGGGUCGCCGCAGAUGGAACCGAGGGUGUCUUGCCAGCUCGUCGGGCUUCCACACCCAAGCUGGCUCGAGAGGUUUCCUUGCCUCGGUUGGCUCGGCAGGUUUCCAUCCCACGUCAUAUACAUAUAGCGUAGUUAUAUGGCAUAGUUAAAAAAGUUUGCAUUCUCGUCAACACUGACUGUUAAUUACGAGGAGAUUGCAUUGCAUAUCAAACACUAGGCUAGAAGCUAGCUAAAUAGUUUGUUGCUAGCAAACCUGCCAAUAUGACAACCGAAUUAAAAAAUAUCAGUUGCUGAAAACAGCUGGUGAAACUAGAAACAUGUGGGAGGAUUUGACAGCUUUAGCGGCGGAGGGGACAGGAGAAAUUCAUGUUCAUCACUCACCAUGUUAGGUCAUCAGGUGCUCCAAAGAAAUAUGUCUAUGCAAAAACAAAUGAAUGCUACCGUGUAUUCCUCAUUGGACCUGCGUUUACAAUGUAUCCAAUUUCUGUUUGUGUUGUUGUUGGUUUAGCUUUCUGUAACGUUGUAGCAAGUAUGGUCUGCAUGUGUAGGCACAUUGUGUCAUGUUUGCAAGGUGACCCGAUAUCUUUUCCAACUGUCAUUAUCUGGUUUUAAUGUCCAUUUUAGAAUGCCAUUCGAGCCAAUCAGAAAUCUGUAUUCAACAACGGCGUGGUAUAAUUAAGCAAUAAGGCCCGAGGUGUGGUGUAUGGUCAAUAUACCACGACUAAGGGAUGUUUUUAGGCCCUAUAUAUCACAUACCCCAGAGGUCACUUAUUGCUAUUAUAAACGGGUUACCAAUGUAAUUAGAACAGAGAGAUAGAGAGAGCGAGCAGGAGGGAGAGGCUUGUACAGUACAUUAUCUGUUCAUCACUCUCCUUGUGUGAUUGAACAUGUCCUAUUAUUCCCGGACACAUUUGUGAAUGUGCCAGACAUUAGAGGCCGGAAAGUAUUCCCCUGAGUGAGGAGGCUGGUGGAAACAUUUAAACCUCCGCUCCCUUUACUCACCAAAAGGAACAUGUUAUAAAGUAUUUUUUCCCCCCUUGUUACUAGAUCACACGUUUUGAGUGCUCUUUCAGUGCAAAAAAAAAGUGAAAAGGUAAAAUCAAAUUUUGCCAGAGGCUGGUGUUGCUUGUCCUAAAUAUAUGUUUUCCUCAAUUGGUACGACUGAUAGAUGGUAAACAAACCACUCAAUUUAACCUGUUUGGGCUGCAGGGACAGUAUUGAGUAGCCAGAUAAAAGGUGCCCAUUUCAAACGGCCUCGUACUCAAUUCUUGCUCGUACAGUAUGCAUAUUAUUAUUACUAUUGGAUAGAAAACACUCUCUCGUUUCUAAAACCGUUUGAAUUAUAUCUGUGAGUCAAACAGAACUCAUUUGGCACAAACUUCCUGACCAGGAAGUGGAAAGUCUGAAAUCGAGGCUCUGUUCUACUUCCUGCCUAUACAUGGGCAUGAUACGUAUACGUGCACUUCAUACACCUUCCCCUGGAUGUCAAGAGGCGGUGAGAGAAGAAAUGAGGAGUUUAUCUUGGUCUGAAGUGGAAUACAAGCUCUUUGUAUGACGUGUCCGCCCAUUUCCUGUUUUCUGGAGAGCGCGAAGGGGGACUUGGAUUUGCCUUCUGUUUAUCUGCCGUUAUAGGCGACUAAUAUCUCCGGCUUUGAUUUUAUUUGAUACAUGUGACCAUAUCAUCGUAAAGUAUGUUUUUUCAAUAUAGUUUCAUCAGAUUAUUGAAAAUUUUUGGGGAGUUUUGCCGUGUUCCGUUCUCUUCCGUUUGUUGACAUGGAGAGCUUCGAGCCACUUGGCUAGUGCGCUUGCUAAUUCAAGAGGGAAAAUGAACGUUCUAAAUCCAAACAACGAUUGUUCUUGACAAAGGACACCUUGUCCAACAUUCUGAUGGAAGAUCAGCAAAAAUAAGAAACAUUUUAUGAGGCUAUUUCAUAUAUCUGUCGUGCAUGUGAACUAGUCGCCGGCGGCCAACUUUGGGGUACUCUAUCUAUACCGAAGCUGGAUGUCGUAAUGAAGUUAUUUUUUAGAAUUCUAACACUGCGAUUUCAUUAAGAACUAAUGGAUCUAUCAUUUCCUAUACAACAUGUAUUUUUUAGUUAUGUUUAUGAAUAGCUAUUUGGUCAGAAUAUGUGUGUCAGAAAAAGUGUCAGAAAAAUAUCGUUGCUGUUUAGACGUUGUGGAAAAAGUAGCUAAGAUAGCAGCAUGUAUAACCACUGAUUUCAGCUCUAAAUAUGCACAUUUUCAAACAAAACAUAAGUGUAGGUAUAACCUGAUGUUAUAGGACUGUCAUCUGAUAAAGAAUAUCAAGGUUAGUCAAAAAUUAUAUAUCUUUUACUGGUUUGUUACGAUCGCUAACUUUUACUGCUGGGAAAUGGAUUGUCUUUCUGGCUAUUGUGGUACGCUAAUAUAACGCUAUAUUGUGCUUUCGCUGUAAAACACUUAAUAAAUCGGCAAUAUUGUCUGGAAUCACAAGAUGCCUGUCUUUCAUUUGCUGUACACUAUGUAUUUUUCAGAAAUGUUUUAUGAUGAGUAAUUAGGUAUUUGACGUUGGUGUCUGUAAUUAUUCUGUCUGCUUUCGGUGCAAUUUCUGAUUGUAGCUGCAAUGUAAACUAUGAUUUAUACCUGAAAUAUGCACAUUUUUCGAACAAAACAUAGAUUUAUUGUAUAACAUGUUAUAAGACUGUCAUCUGACGAAGUUGUUUCUUGGUUAGUUUGGUUGGUUCUUGAUUAGUUAGGUUGGCUUUGUGCAUGCUACCUGUGCUGUGAAAAAUGUCUGUCCUUUUUUUGUAUUUUUUGGUGAGCUAACAUAAAUAUACGUGCUGUUUUCGCUGUAAAACAUUUAAAAAAUCGGACAUGUUGGCUGGAUUCACAAGAUGUGUACCUUUCAUUUGCUGUAUUGGACUUGUUAAUGUGUGAAAGUUAAAUAUUUAAAAAUAUAUAUAUUUUGAAUUUCGCGCCCUGCACUUGAGCUGGCUGUUGUCAUAAGUGUACCGACGUCGGGCUUGCAGCCAGAAGAAGUUAAAUUGGCAAUCUGGGAUUCAAACAGCAAAGUGGUCGCCCAGCUACUUUAACUAAGCUCAUGAGGCAUUUAUAAAUUACAAUUAAAAGUCCAAAAAUGUAUUUACCAAUCCCAGAUUGCCCCUUUAAGCAUUCUAGAACUCCCUGGUGAGAUCCCUGGUGUGACAUAACCUUGAGGAAAAUGUAUGAAUAACACUAUAGUUUUGAUGCUAACAUCUGUCACGACUUCUACCGAAGGUUGCUCCUCUCCCUGCUCGGGCGGCGAUCGGCGUCGCCGAUCUACUAGCCAUCACCGAUCCCUUUUUCUGUUUGUUUUGUCUUUGGUUCUUUUUCCACACCUGGUUUCAUUUGCGUUAAUUUCUGUGUGUAUAAUUGUAACCUGUUGCCUGCCUAAGUUUGUGCGGGAUUAGUCUUUUAUUGUGAUGUGCUCGGUUAGAUUAUACCGUUAUUUGUUUUCACGGAUUCUUAAGUGUAUGAGUGUCGGAACUUUGUUUGUUCCCCCGUGCGUUUGUACGGGUUCUCUGUUAUCGAGGGCGUUGUACCUUUUCGAUUGUGCCAUUCCUGUGUUGGUGGACUUUCUUAUUAAACCACACUUCUCA